GAUGAACGCUAGCGGCAGGCCUAACACAUGCAAGUCGAGGGGCAGCACAGGUAGCAAUACUGGGUGGCGACCGGCGGAUGGGUGCGUAACGCGUAUGCAACCUACCAUUGAUUGGGGCAUAGCCCGAAGAAAUUCGGAUUAAUACUCCAUAAUAUUCAUCAAAGGCAUCUUUUAUGAAUUAAAGCUUUUGCGAUCAAUGAUGGGCAUGCGUGACAUUAGUUAGUUGGUGAGGUAACGGCUCACCAAAACGAUGAUGUCUAGGGGUUCUGAGAGGAUUAUCCCCCACACUGGUACUGAGACACGGACCAGACUCCUACGGGAGGCAGCAGUAAGGAAUAUUGGACAAUGGAGGCAACUCUGAUCCAGCCAUGCCGCGUGAAGGAUUAAGGCCCUAUGGGUUGUAAACUGCUUUUCCACGGGAAGAACCCUCCGACGUGUCGGAGACUGACGGUACCGUGGGAAUAAGCAUCGGCUAACUCCGUGCC
rnacentral:rRNA from 1 species